AUGCACCCACUGCAGCCUGCUGCCAGCCCCUCAGCCACUGGGCACCCACCAUCCCCUGUCCUCACCCUCUCGGCACUACCUUUGCCCGUUCUUCCUGCUCCCGCAGCUGCUCCUUCAGCUGGGCCGAGUGCUGUUUCUCCUGCAAAGCGCGGUGCACACCAUGUGGCAGCGCAGCUGGCAGCUGCGCAGCCCCCUCCCUGGCCAGCCCCAGGCCUCGGCCGCCUUGCCGCUGCCCCGCUCCAGGCCACAGGCAGGGCUGGCCACGGACACGGCCAGCCCAAGGGCAGUCACGCAGCCCAGCCCUUUCGGCAAACGUCCUCCCCACACCCACCGCUGCCUGCAGCCUACCGGCACCACACUGCCAGCACAGCUCCCCUCGGCCCCCUACCUCGUCCAGCUCCUGCAGCCUGGUGCCUCUCUCCUGCUUGGCUGCCUGCAAGCGCUCCUGCAGUAGAGCAGAGGCAAGGAGAGGAAGACGAGCAGCCGUCAGGGCAUGGCAGAGCUGCUGCCGGCAGCAGGUGCGCGGCCCUGUGCCCUGUGGCUGCCCUGGACACCCAGCGGCCACGCCGGCACUUCCCCUGGCAGGCAGCUGCCCUCUGGGAGCCAGCUGUGCCGGCACCGCGGGGCACGGAGGGGCCCGCGGCCCAGCUCACCUCCAGCUCUGGCCGCAGCUCCUGCAUGGCCUGCAGCUGCUGGCGGCUGCUGCAGCAGCACUGGCUGAGGGCGCCGUUGUCCCUGAGCAGCUCCUGGGCAGCAUCCUGCAGCUCCUGCUUCUCCUCCUGCUGCGUGGGGAAGGUGCAGAGCAGGGCUUCAGCGCAGGGCAGAGAUGGCCACAGCGGGGCUGCAGCGGGGCAGCCCCAGCCCCUGCGCCAGGGACACUCCCCACCUACCAGGCACCGCAGCAGCUCCCGGCAGCGGCCCUCCUCCUGCUGGCUCUGCUGCAGCUGCUCCCGCAGCCUGCUGAGCUUGUCCAGCAGCUCCUGCGGCUCCUCGGCUGCUCUCCUGCGCCUCCGCUGCCUGCAGCCAUGGGGGCCCUCACAGUGCAGUGGCCCUGCACACGACCUCCCUGCUGCCUGUCCCAGCUCCGUUCGGGGGCCUGCAUGGCAUCCGGCGCCACACACCUGCCCCGCCUGCUGUGUCCCCGCACCCAGCACCGUGGGCAUCAUCCCACCUGGCCRCCUGCUCCGCCAGCCGGGCGUUGGUGCCCUGCAGCGCCUCGUGCUCCUGCUGCAGCAGCUCCAGCUGCUCCAGAAGCUCCUGCUUCUGUGCCCGCACCCGCUGCAGGGCCGCCUGCACCUCCGCCACCUCCAUGCCUUGGGCCCGGGCCGCACGUCCCCCCGCAGCUCCCCUCUGCUCUGCAAGCACACCCUGGGGGGGCCUCAGCCCCCUGCGGCAGGCAGGGCAAGAGGAGGCCCCGGCAGCGGCGGCUCUUGCGAUCGGCACCCACAGCUGCUGCCCGCCCCAGGGCACGAGGCCCCAACUCCUCCCUGCACCUGCUGCGUGACGCCGCGCUGUGCCGAUCCUGGCACGCACGCUCGGCAGCAGUGCAGGCACAAGGCAGCUGGGCGAGACUCUGCAGCCACCCGGGGAAACUCUGCCGCCGUGCCGUGUGGUCACAAUAGCUCGGGGCCAUCAUGA
ensembl:lncRNA